rnacentral:rRNA from 1 species
CAGUAGCCGCGGUAAUACGAAGGGGGCUAGCGUUGUUCGGAAUUACUGGGCGUAAAGCGCACGUAGGCGGACAUUUAAGUCAGGGGUUAAAUCCCGGGGCUCAACCCCGGAACUGCCUUUGAUACUGGGUGUCUAGAGUAUGGAAGAGGUGAGUGGAAUUCCGAGUGUAGAGGUGAAAUUCGUAGAUAUUCGGAGGAACACCAGUGGCGAAGGCGGCUCACUGGUCCAUUACUGACGCUGAGGUGCGAAAGCGUGGGGAGCAAACAGGAUUAGAUACCCCAGUAGUCCCUGUCUCUUAUAC